rnacentral:rRNA from 1 species
UGGGGAAUUUUGGACAAUGGGCGCAAGCCUGAUCCAGCCAUGCCGCGUGCAGGAUGAAGGCCUUCGGGUUGUAAACUGCUUUUGUACGGAACGAAAAGGUGCCUUCUAAUAAAGGGCGCUCAUGACGGUACCGUAAGAAUAAGCACCGGCUAACUCCGUGCCAGCAGCCGCGGUAAUACGGAGGGUGCGAGCGUUACCCGGAUUUACUGGGUGUAAAGGGCGUGUAGGCGGUUUCUCAAGUCCGAUGCUAAAGACCGAAGCUCAACUUCGGGAGUGCGUUGGAUACUGUGAGGCUAGACGGUCGGAGAGGGUAGCGGAAUUUCCUGAGUAGCGGUGAAAUGCGCAGAUACAGGAAGGAACGCCAAUAGCGAAAGCAGCUACCUGGACGAUUUGUGACGCUGAGGCGCGAAAGCGUGGGGAGCAAACC